GCAAACUUGGUCAUUUAGAGGAAGUAAAAGUCGUAACAAGGUCUCCGUUGGUGAACCAGCGGAGGGAUCAUUACAGAGUUAUACAACUCCCACCCUUUGUUAACUAUACCUUUGUUGCUUUGGCAAGCCUGCCUUCCGGCUCCCGGCCACUCGGCUGGGUCGUGCUUGCCAGAGGACCCUAAAACUCAUGUUAUUUAGUGUUGUCUGAGCAAUGAUUUAAUCAUAUAAAACUUUCAACAACGGAUCUCUUGGUUCUGGCAUCGAUGAAGAACGCAGC
rnacentral:misc_RNA from 1 species